UACGAAGGACCCGAGCGUUAUCCGGAUGUAUUGGGUUUAAAGGGGGCGUAGGCGGGCUUUCAAGUCAGUGGUGAAAGCCCAUCGCUCAACGAUGGAAUUGCCAUUGAAACUGUUGGUCUUGAGUACGGUUGAAGUGGGCGGAAUGUGUCAUGUAGCGGUGAAAUGCUUAGAUAUGACACAGAACACCUAUUGCGAAGGCAGCUCGCUAAGCCGUAACUGACGCUGAGGCACGAAAGUGUGGGUAGCAAACAGG
rnacentral:rRNA from 1 species